rnacentral:lncRNA from 1 species
GUCUCUCUGCUAAUAGGAUGCUCUGUGGAGGAGCCCUUGGGAGGGUCUCACUGUGCAGCCCUGGCUGACCUGGAAAUUGCUGUGUAGUCUAGAUGGGGCUUGGACUCACAGAGAUUCACCUGCCUCAGAUAGGCUCCAUCGCUCUCUGUCUUUUCCAUCCUACGGUAGGAGGUAGGAGUGUGCUUUGAGGCGUGACAUCACAGGCUCUGGCUGACUUGCACUGUGAGGUAAGGUCUAUACCACAGGGAUAAUGAAGGUAGAAGCAGUGCGAACUGGGAGCUGAGGUAUUCAAGGGCUGAGCCCUGGCUCGCCCACCCUGCAGGCCUCUCUACUAGGCAGAGAGCUAUGCUGCUGUCUUGUUUAAGCAGUAUAGCCGGGAUACUCCACUUUCCUUAGUUAAACCCAAUCCUUGCUGGUGAACACUCAUUCCUUUACAUCACAUGACUCUUCACUGGCCUUCGCCAGUGAGUCUUAGGUCAUUUCCUCUUAACUGUCAGAGUCCAAGUUCUUGUUCCUCAGAUCACAAACACAGCUUGUUGAGAAGCUAUCUUCGUGCCUGCAGCAACGGAUGAAGAAUGUCCCAGCUACAGCUACUUCAACCAGUUCCCAAAAUAGUUGCCUGAAGCCCAGUAGGGACAGUAUGACUCAGUUCCACUCUGCAGGACAGUGCUCAUGCCAAACCUGCCUGUUUCUGUAGAGGCAACUUCGUUGCUGGGAGAAGGGCAUCAGGGACGCAUGUGCUGAACCCAUGGAAGUUUUCAGAAGACACAGCUAGUCUGUGUGUCUAUCAGUCCGGCUUGGCAAUAUGUUCCAGACUCAUUCCUCUGUGACAAGCAACCCCAUUUGUUCCUUAGGACAGCCUCCUUCUAGACUAUGGUGUGCCCCCAAAUCAGCUCAUAAAUAUAUCUUUGUCUGGAAUAAAAAGUCGAACUGUU